rnacentral:rRNA from 1 species
GACGAACGCUGGCGGCGCGCUUAGCACAUGCAAGUCGAACGGAAAGGCCUGCUUUCCCUUGUGGAUUGCGGGUACUCGAGUGGCGAACGGGUGAGUAACACGUGAGUGAUCUGCCCCCAACUUGGGUAUAAGCCUGGGAAACUGGGUCUAAUUCCCGAUAGGACUGCAGGGUGGUGCCUGUGGUGGAAAACGAUUUUCUAGUGGUUGGGGAUGAGCUCGCGGCCUAUCAGCUUGUUGGUGGGGUAAUGGCCUACCAAGGCGGCGACGGGUAGCCGGCCUGGGAGGGUGGACGGCCACAUUGGGACUGAGAUACGGCCCAGACUCCUACGGGAGGCAGCAGUGGGGAAUAUUGCACAAUGGGCGGAAGCCUGAUGCAGCGACGCCGCGUGGGGGAUGACGGCCUUCGGGUUGUAAACUCCUUUCGACCGCGAGGAAGCCACCUGGUUGGAAGGGUGGUGACGGUAGUGGUAGAAGAAGCGCCGGCUAACUACGUGC